rnacentral:rRNA from 1 species
AUUGAACGCUGGCGGCAUGCCUUACACAUGCAAGUCGAACGGCAGCACGGGGCAACCUGGUGGCGAGUGGCGAACGGGUGAGUAAUACAUCGGAACGUACCUUUCAGUGGGGGAUAACGUAGCGAAAGUUACGCUAAGACCGCAUAUUCUGUGAGCAGGAAAGCAGGGGAUCGCAAGCCCUUGCGCGGAUGGAGCGGGCGAUGUCAGAUUCGCUAGGUGGUGAGGUAAAGGCUCACCAAGGCGACGAUCUGUGGCGGGUCUGAGAGGAUGAUCCGCCACACUGGAACUGAGACACGGUCCAGACUCCUACGGGAGGCAGCAGUGGGGAAUUUUGGACAAUGGGGGCAACCCUGAUCCAGCCAUGCCGCGUGAGUGAAGAAGGCCUUCGGGUUGUAAAGCUCUUUCGGCCGGGAAGAAAUCGCACGGGCUAAUACCCUGUGUGGAUGACGGUACCGGAAUAAGAAGCACCGGCUAACUACGUGCCAGCCGCCGCCGUAAAAC